CUGUUCAGGAAAAGGUGUUCUGUGUAGGCAGGAGUCUGUGUAGAGACAGAAGGGAGUGUGCACCUUAGCCAGAGAGAAGCUGAGGGCCACAUCCUGACAUGCAGCUAG